rnacentral:rRNA from 1 species
AUGCAAGUCGAACGGCAGCACGGGUGCUUGCACCUGGUGGCGAGUGGCGAACGGGUGAGUAAUACAUCGGAACGUACCUUAUCGUGGGGGAUAACGCAGCGAAAGCUGUGCUAAUACCGCAUACGCCCUGAGGGGGAAAGCGGGGGAUCGAAAGACCUCGCGCGAUUAGAGCGGCCGAUGCCUGAUUAGCUUGUUGGUGGGGUAAAAGCCCACCAAGGCGACGAUCAGUAGCUGGUCUGAGAGGACGAUCAGCCACACUGGGACUGAGACACGGCCCAGACUCCUACGGGAGGCAGCAGUGGGGAAUUUUGGACAAUGGGGGAAACCCUGAUCCAGCAAUGCCGCGUGAGUGAAGAAGGCCUUCGGGUUGUAAAGCUCUUUUGUCAGGGAAGAAACACCGGCUCUAACACAGUCCGGGAAUGACGGUACCUGAAGAAUAAGCACCGGCUAACUACGUGCCAGCAGCCGCGGUAAUACGUAGGGUGCGAGCGUUAAUCGGAAUUACUGGGCGUAAAGCGUGCGCAGGCGGUUAUACAAGACAGGCGUGAAAUCCCCGGGCUUAACCUGGGAAUGGCGCCUGUGACUGUAUAGCUAGAGUGUGUCAGAGGGGGGUAGAAUUCCACGUGUAGCAGUGAAAUGCGUAGAUAUGUGGAGGAAUACCAAUGGCGAAGGCAGCCCCCUGGGAUAACACUGACGCUCAUGC